GGCGGACUGUUUCCUGUGGGAGGAAGAACCCGUUCAUCUGCUACAGUCCACUUCCAAAGCAAGAGUUGAAAUUGUUCAAACUGAAGGUGGAGAAAAGCUCCUCUGUGGAUCUGGACGACCCUGCUGUGCUGGAGAACAUGUUGCUGACGAUCAAACAGAAGCUGAAAGGAUUGGAUGAGAACAUCCAAGUGAACUGGAAGAAGCAGCCUGAUGGAAAAGUCUUCUACAAGGAGAAGAAGACGAAGGAGGAGGAGAAGACGAAGGAUGAGCUUUAAUGUGGAAUCUCUGUCUGUUUUUCUUUCUUUCCUCUAAGUCGUCAUGUAACGGCUCAGAAUAGAGCUGAACAAUCAGCUGAUUAGUCGAUUAGUCACAACUAUUCUGAUUUGAUGCUUUUCUUUGUUAUAUAUGGUCAUGAACUUCAUGUCUGUGUUCUUUAGACUGUUGCAUUUAUCUGCUUGACCUGUGGGAUAUAAUGACAGGCAUCUUUACUAUGUUCUGACAUUUUAUAUGAUUAGAUUAAAUACAAUAUGAUAAGAAACUA